rnacentral:rRNA from 1 species
CUGCAGAAGAAGUACCGGCUAACUACGUGCCAGCAGCCGCGGUAAUACGUAGGGUACAAGCGUUGUCCGGAAUUAUUGGGCGUAAAGAGCUCGUAGGUGGUUGGUCACGUCUGCUGUGGAAACGCAACGCUUAACGUUGCGCGUGCAGUGGGUACGGGCUGACUAGAGUGCAGUAGGGGAGUCUGGAAUUCCUGGUGUAGCGGUGAAAUGCGCAGAUAUCAGGAGGAACACCGGUGGCGAAGGCGGGACUCUGGGCUGUAACUGACACUGAGGAGCGAAAGCAUGGGGAGCGAACAGGAUUAGAUACCCUGGUAGUCCAUGCCGUAAACGUUGGGCACUAGGUGUGGGGGACAUUCCACGUUCUCCGCGCCGUAGCUAACGCAUUAAGUGCCCCGCCUGGGGAGUACGGUCGCAAGGCUAAAACUCAAAGGAAUUGACGGGGGCCCGCACAAGCGGCGGAGCAUGCGGAUUAAUUCGAUGCAACGCGAAGAACCUUACCAAGGCUUGACAUACACCAGACCGGUCUGGAAACAGUCCUUCCCCUUUGGGGUUGGUGUACAGGUGGUGCAUGGUUGUCGUCAGCUCGUGUCGUGAGAUGUUGGGUUAAGUCCCGCAACGAGCGCAACCCUCGUUCUAUGUUGCCAGCACGUCAUGGUGGGAACUCAUAGGAGACUGCCGGGGUCAACUCGGAGGAAGGUGGGGAUGACGUCAAAUCAUCAUGCCCUUUAUGUCUUGGGCUUCACGCAUGCUACAAUGGCUGGUACAGAGAGAUGCGAGACCGCGAGGUUUUAGCGAAUCCCUUAAAGCCAGUCUCAGUUCGGAUCGUAGUCUGCAAUUCGACUACGU